rnacentral:rRNA from 1 species
UAGGGAAUCUUCGGCAAUGGACGGAAGUCUGACCGAGCAACGCCGCGUGAGUGAAGAAGGUUUUCGGAUCGUAAAGCUCUGUUGUAAGAGAAGAACGAGUGUGAGAGUGGAAAGUUCACACUGUGACGGUAUCUUACCAGAAAGGGACGGCUAACUACGUGCCAGCAGCCGCGGUAAUACGUAGGUCCCGAGCGUUAUCCGGAUUUAUUGGGCGUAAAGCGAGCGCAGGCGGUUAGAUAAGUCUGAAGUUAAGGGCUGUGGCUUAACCAUAGUAGGCUUUGGAAACUGUUUAACUUGAGUGCAAGAGGGGAGAGUGGAAUUCCAUGUGUAGCGGUGAAAUGCGUAGAUAUAUGGAGGAACACCGGUGGCGAAAGCGGCUCUCUGGCUUGUAACUGACGCUGAGGCUCGAAAGCGUGGGGAGCAAACAGGAUUAGAUACCCUGGUAGUCCACGCUGUAAACGAUGAGUGCUAGGUGUUAGACCCUUUCCGGGGUUUAGUGCCGUAGCUAACGCAUUAAGCACUCCGCCUGGGGAGUACGACCGCAAGGUUG